AUUGAACGCUGGCGGCAGGCCUAACACAUGCAAGUCGAACGAGUGGCGGACGGGUGAGUAAUGUCUGGGAAACUGCCCGAUGGCGGGGGAUAACUACUGGAAACGGUAGCUAAUACCGCAUACCAUCGGAUGUGCCCAGAUUGGAUUAGCUUGUAGGUGAGGUAACGGCUCACCUAGGCGACGAUCCCUAGCUGGUCUGAGAGGAUGACAAGACAAACUGGAACGGAGAAACGGUCAAGACGCCGAGGGGAGGCAGAAGUGGGGAAUAUUGGGCAAUGGUCGCAAGCAUGAUGCAGCCAUGGCGCGUGUAUGAAGAAGGCCGUCGGGUUGUAAAGUACUUUCAGCGGGGAGGCGUUACCCGCAGAAGAAGCACCGGCUAACUCCGUGCCAGCAGCCGCGGUAAUGC
rnacentral:rRNA from 1 species